rfam:Oryza glumipatula chromosome 1, whole genome shotgun sequence.
UUUAAGUACAGCUAUAGGUUUCCGUGUCCAACUUUGAUCAUCCGUCUUAUUUGAAAUUUUUUAAUAAUUAAUAUUUUUAUUAUUAUGAGAUGAUAAAAUAUGAAUAGUACUUUAUAAGUAACUUGUGUUUUUCAAUUUUUUUAAUAAAUUUUUAAAUAAGACGGACGAUCAAAGUCGUGUAUAGAAAAUCAUGACGGAACUUAAA